AAUUUUGGACAAUGGGGGAAACCCUGAUCCAGCCAUCCCGCGUGUAUGAUGAAGGCCUNCGGGUUNUNAAGUACUUUUGGCAGAGNCGAAAAGGUAUAUCCUAAUACGAGAUACUGCUGACGGUAUCUGCAGAAUAAGCACCGGCUAACUACGUGCCAGCAGCCGCGGUAAUACGUAGGGUGCAAGCGUUAAUCGGAAUUACUGGGCGUAAAGCGUGUGUAGGCGGGUCGGAAAGAAAGAUGUGAAAACCCACGGCUCAACCUUGGAACUGCAUUUUUAACUGCCGAGCUAGAGUAUGUCAGAGGGGGGUAGAAUUCCACGUGUAGCAGUGAAAUGCGUAGAUAUGUGGAGGAAUACCGAUGGCGAAGGCAGCCCACUGGGAUAAUACUGACGCUCAGAAACGAAAGCGUGGGGAGCAAACAGG
rnacentral:rRNA from 1 species